CUCCCGCCCCCGCCGGACGGCCCCGCCCGUGCCAGCCCGGCCUUCAUGCCCCCCGGGAAGCUUCUGGAACCUCAACCGCAGCUGCUCCUCCAGCUCGCAGGGAAUCGCCAACGCCAUCUCCAGCAUCGGCCUCGGAUAAGAAAAUCUCGCCGCCUUUCGAGUUCUUUCUCUCGGCCUUUCCCUUCUCUUAACCUCUCCAUUCUCUUGGCGUUUCCUUGUUUUGACUUGUUCUUUUUCUUCCCCUUCGCUCUUGUCUUCCCUUUUUUGGGCACGGGGUUGCUUGGUCGCAGAUACUCUCAUUUACCUUUCUUUUACUUCAAAGAAAACCGCUUUAUGCAAAAGAUGAAAAAAAAGAUUAAAAGAAAAUAAUGAGAACUGUCUUCUCUUUUAGUGAGGAGACUAACCUAGUCAGCCAUUUUCAUUAAUCUGUUUUAAAACAUGUCUUUUAUCAUUCUCGUCUUUUCCCCCCCUACUGAAUGGCUCAGUAAUUUUUCACAAUUAAUUUUGUUAAUCAGUAAUGAUGAUGUCAAUGAUAAUAAUAGUGUUCCUAAUCGUCAACGACUUAAUCAUGGCGGCUUUCCAAAAAGAAGAAAAAAAGACAAACGAUCUGCGUCCUUCUCGCAACCCGCGCCACGAGUGAAUUCAAAUGUCAAGUUCGAAUCGAAGGAAUUCACGUUUUAAUCAAUAUUUUAGAAAUAGAGUUAAUUUUGUGUAUACUUUAGUGUCUUAAGGGAAAAGUGAAGCUUGGACUGUGUUGAAACAAUACUGAGUGAAGGAAGAGGAGAGAAAAAGAAAAAAACAAAAACAAAAAACGAAAACAAUGUAACUUCUACAUAAGCUUGUUUUGUUUAUUGUGCUUAGUAGAGAAUUAUAUAACAGACCAAAUUAAGUUAAUUUUCAAAUAUUUUCACUUAAGACAAAGAUUUACAAACCAUAUAUUUACAAAACGAUUUACAAAACAAAAUAAAAAAUAUUUUCAGUUGCAGACGGAGGAAAGUUUAUUUUUCAAAUAACAAAAGGUAGAAAAUGCACAAACAACAAAACAGGUUUAUUCUCAAAUAUAUAUAUAUAUAUAUAUAUAUAUAUAUAUAUAUAUAUAUAUAUAUAUAUAUAUAUAUACAUAUAUAUAUAUAUAUAUAUAUAUGUAUAUAUAUAUAUAUAUAUAUAUAUAUAUAUAUAUAUAUAUAUAUAUAUAUAUAUAUAUAUAUAUAUAUAUAAUUCUUUUGUGCUAUAAUAGCAACACAGCAAAGUCGUUUUGUCAUUCGAGAGAAGAGAAGAAACGGGGACAUUUUUUGUGCUUGAAAAAAAAAAAAAAAAAAAUAUAUAUAUAUAACUACAUUUUUUUCAUGUGUUAGCGUGUUGUGUUGAUAACACAGCAGUCUAGAAACCGGUCCUUGCUUGUGUAUCCAGAAGUGUGCGGUGGAAUGCAUGUGUAGAUAAGCCCAGGGCAUUUAUUCUUUGGUGAUAUAUACUAUAUGAUAUUAUAUAUGUAUAUAUAUAUAUAUAUAUAUAUAUAUAUAUAUAUAUAUAUAUAUAUAUAUAUAUAUAUACAUAUAUAUAUAUAUAUAUAUAUAUACAUAUAUGUAUAUAUAUAUGUAUUUAUACAUACAUAUGUAUGUAUAUAUGUAUGUAUGAUGAUUAGGUGGUGGUUUGAAGAGGUGGCCAUGAACACUUCAUAAGUCAUGAGAUAACAAUUUAUAGAUUAACAAUAACAAACACAAUUAUGAUUAAGAUAAGGCGUAACUCCCAGACAAAAGUAUUUAUUGAUGUAACAAAGUACAAACUAGAUGCCACGACAGAAAGGACCGCCGGAGUUCGUUUGUGCGACGUUAGUGUUAAUUAACAGAGACGGUGGGUGUUCGGAGGAAAAGCUUUCCCUUUGGCCUUCGCUGCAACGAGUCAAUAAACGAAGAGAUUCCUCU
rnacentral:lncRNA from 1 species